GCUGUGGUUUCCUAGCCUGGUACGGAGCCAGCCUGCUAAGUUGGUGUGCUCCGCACGCGAGAGUUCAAAUCUCUCCCACAGCGCCA
rnacentral:tRNA from 1 species